UACGGAGGGUGCAAGCGUUAAUCGGAAUUACUGGGCGUAAAGCGCGCGUAGGCGGUUGGGUAAGUCAGAUGUGAAAGCCCCGGGCUUAACCUGGGAACUGCAUUUGAUACUGUCUGACUCGAGUAUGGUAGAGGGGGGUGGAAUUCCCGGAGUAGCGGUGAAAUGCGUAGAUAUCGGGAGGAACGCCAGUGGGGAAGGCGGCCCCCGGGACCAAUACUGACGCUGAGGUGCGAAAGCGUGGGGAGCAAACAGG
rnacentral:rRNA from 1 species